rnacentral:rRNA from 1 species
UACGUAGGUGACCAGCGUUGUCCGGAUUUACUGGGCGUAAAGAGCGCGCAGGCGGUCGUUCAAGUCGAGUGUGAAAGCCCCCGGCUCAACUGGGGAGGGUCAUUCGAUACUGAUCGACUCGAAGGCAGGAGAGGGAAGUGGAAUUCCCGGUGUAGUGGUGAAAUGCGUAGAUAUCUGGAGGAACACCGGUGGCGAAGGCGACGUCCUGGACCGGCAUUGACGCUGAGGCGCGAAAGCCAGGGGAGCAAACGGG